UUGCGUAGGUGGUCUAAUAAGCGAAUAGUGAAAUCUGGUGGCUCAACCAUUCAGACUAUUACUCGAACUGUUAGACUCGAGGACAGCAGAGGUAACUGGAAUUUCUAGUGUAGGAGUGAAAUCCGUAGAUAUUAGAAGGAAUACCGAUUGCGAAGGCGAUCUACUGGAACAUUAUUGACGCUGAGAUGCGAAAGCGUGGGGAGCAAACA
rnacentral:rRNA from 1 species